UAGUCACGCUGUAAACGAUGUCGAUUUGGAGCUUGGGGGCAUGACCCUUGGGCUCCGGAGCUAACGCGUUAAAUCGACCGCUGGGGAGUACGGCCGCAAGGUUAAAACUCAAAUGAAUUGACGGGGGCCCGCACAAGCGGUGGAGCAUGUGGUUUAAUUCGAUGCAACGCGAAGAACCUUACCUGGUCUUGACAUCCAUAGAAUCUUUCAGAGAUGAGAGAGUGCCUUCGGGAGCUAUGAGACAGGUGCUGCAUGGCUGUCGUCAGCUCGUGUUGUGAAAUGUUGGGUUAAGUCCCGCAACGAGCGCAACCCCUAUCCUUUGUUGCCAGCACGUAAUGGUGGGAACUCAAAGGAGACUGCCGUUGAUAAAGCGGAGGAAGGUGGGGACGACGUCAAGUCAUCAUGGCCCUUACGACCAGGGCUACACACGUGCUACAAUGGCGUAUACAAAGGGAUGCGAAGGUGCGAACUGGAGCGGACCUCACAAAGUACGUCUAAGUCCGGAUUGGAGUCUGCAACUCGACUCCAUGAAGUCGGAAUCGCUAGUAAUCGUGAAUCAGAAUGUCACGGUGAAUACGUUCCCGGGCCUUGUACACACCGCCCGUCACACCAUGGGAGUGGGUUGCACCAGAAGUAGAUAGCUUAACCUUCGGGAGGGCGUUUACCACGGUGUGGUUCAUGACUGGGGUGAAGUCGUAACAAGGUAACCA
rnacentral:rRNA from 1 species